UGUGUGCGUGUGGGGGGAGUACACACUAACCACUGCCCCGCGUACAGCCAGCGACAGCCACCAAAGAACGGCCCAAAGGUGCUGACAUUAACUGGGUCUGAAGCUAAACUACAGUGCUGGCCGCCACUAGAUCUCGCUGGUUCCCCGUCUAGGGACUGGGAAUUCUCCCUGCUGCCCAUGGCCCGGGCCCAUCUUGUCUCUCCUUUCAAAAGUUGAGAGACAGAUUUUCCAAGGGGGAGGACAGAGCUGAGGAGGAAAAGGCAAGAGAAAGGGGAGAGCUGGAAAGAGGGACCGAAACGGAGUGAGAAACCAGACCCCGGCUCCGGCCCUUUGGAAGCGACUCGGAGGCUCUGAGGUUCUUGUAACGCGGCCGCUUCGUUUUGAGCUGCCCUGGGCCGGGGGUUCGAUCCUGUAGCCGCGAUCUCCAAGGCAAGGGCCCCGGUCGCUAACCCUGCAGAAGGGCAUCUCUGGUGGUUUCCUCAUCCCAGCUACGCCCCCCUGCAGCUCGGCCAAAGCCUGCUCUCCAUGCAAAUCGACCCGGCUCCGGAGAAGGGCCGGGCUCUGCGCUACCUGUGUCCUCGUCCUACUUCUGCUCUGGCAGGGACAAGUCUUUGUGCCUCAGUUUACCCCCCCGCAGCCUCUGUCUGUGAGUCCUGUGGGACACUUACUGCAAGUGCCUAGCACAGGGGCCCUGGUCACAGCUAGGACCUGCAUGUGCUGCUGUAAUGCAAAUCCUCCAUCACCUUCUGGGGAGUGGCCCUGGAUUUCCAGGGCUCUCUGAGCUCAGAAUCGGGUCCGCCUGUGAACGCAGCCACGCCGCUCCUGCUCAGCCGGGCUUGGACAUCCCCCGCUUUCUCCAUGGAGGUCACACUGGCUGCGAAACUGAAGGGUAACUCACCGACAACCCGGUUCUUUUUGCAAAGCUUUCGAAUGAGGCGAUGUGGUGAGCUGGGCUGUGCCAGGGGCUGGGCUUUGGGGCCUGCCCUGGUGCACGCGAGGCUCAGGAAGCGGCUCGUGUGCCUGCGUGCUGUGCUGGAUCGGGCCCACACGGCUCAGGAACUUGCAGGAUUGAGACCAGAUGGAUGUGACAACGCGGGAGCAUCGGAAAGCAGCCGAACUCUUUCCACGCCUGCACCUUCCCCUCAAAGCAAGAUUAGUUUCUUUGGGCUCCGCGGCCGAGGGAUUCCGCUGCUGACCGGAUGCUGUUGGCAGGAGUAUUUGUGGAACCAGUGAGAGUGAAAGUUAGUGAACGCUCAGGGAAAGUGAAUUGUUUUUCACGUGCGUAUUUUCACCACAGACCUAACCUGAAAAGGGAUGUGCAUCCAAACGGGAGGGGAUGAGAGUAGAUGACCUCUGACCCCAGUGCAAGCUAAUCAACACAAUUUGGAUGAGUGCCAAAUCUUUUCCAGCAGAUCAUUUCUGAUGACAAAGGGUUGUGAGGGAUUGUCUGCUAAUCGCAGGAGGGGAGAGGCUAACUGUGGGUAGAAUGAUCCUUGUGGUGUUGUCGGGGCAGCAAUUAAAGAGACUAGCAGGCCCGCCUGCCAUGCACAGCCCUGAUUUCAGGAAGUGAAAGUGACCAUAAACAGAAAGUGAAACUGAGUUACGUUGUUUCAAGUCUAGGGAAGUGCAAAAAGGAAACAAACAGUGUCACUGGUGAAAGGUGAGUUUGAUUUCAGUCCUCCACCCCGAUGCUUGCCGGGUGUUAACGUGCAGGUGGGGAGGGAGAAGAUGGUCGUUUAAGGAAGGGGGCUGUGCCCACGAAAGCUCAGGACAGUGCCUGUCUGUGUUUGAGUCUCCCCGGUGCCACAGGCCCGCUCGUUGUGUUUGAAGACGAGCUGGCAUGGCCGGCAGGGGUUGGGUAAGAGAUCUGCUUGGGAGAAGCUCUGCUCGACGCCGGAAGCGCAGCGUUUGCUCUCUCGGCGCCGCACGCACGCCAGUCCGGCAGUGUGACAGGAGACCCAAGAGCUGGAAAAGGCUGGUCAGAU